GUGCCAGCCGCCGCGGUAAUACGGAGGGUGCAAGCGUUGUCCGGAAUCACUGGGUGUAAAGGGUGCGUAGGCGGAAUAUUAAGUCAGUGGUGAAAUCCUGCAGCUCAACUGUAGACUUGCCAUUGAUACUGGUAUUCUUGAGUGCGCUUGAAGUAGGCGGAAUGUGCCGUGUAGCGGUGAAAUGCUUAGAUAUGGCACAGAACACCAAUUGCGAAGGCAGUUUACUAAGGCGAUACUGACGCUGAGGCACGAAAGCGUGGGGAUCGAACAGGAUUAGAUACCCGAGUAGUCC
rnacentral:rRNA from 1 species